AAUGUGUGAUAUUUUAAAAGUUUUAAAUUGGUGCCGAUGUUCGGUUUCCUGUAGAUGGACAGUGGGAUCUGGGGUUGAUUUAUCUGUCUGAAUUCUUUUUUAAUGGUCCACAUAUUUUUACCGUGAAACUUGAUAGAAAAUAUUUUAUUCUUUGCCUUCUGACUUCGAUAUUUUGCGUCCUAGCUUUGCUGCGGAGUCCUUUCUCGGUGGAAAUUGAUGGUUUCUUCUUCUGGUACUCAUUCGGCAAAUUACGACGCCUACUUUUCUUUUAGAGGCAAGGACACGAGACAAUUUUAUCAGCCAUCUCUACGCAGCCUUAUGUAGCAGAAGGAUUAAUGUUUUUAUUGAUGACGAACUCAAUAGAGGAGAUGAAAUUUCGGCAUCUCUUUUGAAUGCAAUUGAAGGGUCAAAGAUUUCAGUUAUUGUUUUUUCAAAAGGCUAUGCAUCUUCUAGAUGGUUGCUCCAAGAACUUGUAAAGAUUCUUGAAUGCAAGAAAUACGGGCAAAUCGUGACUCCAGUUUUCUAUCACGUAGAUCCAUCAAAUGUAAGGAAGCAAACUGGGACUUUUGGGGAAGGAUUCGCUAAGCCUGAAGAGCUUUUCAAGGAGAGUCCAUACAUGGUGCAGAAAUGAAGGAUUGCUUUGACAGAAGCAGCAAAUCUAUCUGGCUAUGAUUCACAUGUCAUGAGGGAACUAAAAAUAUGGAAGGUAUUUGCUUGGACUUGUUUAAAAGUGAAGAGGUAUACUUAGAUCCUCACGCUUUCUUGAAGAUGCAUAAUUUGAGAUUCUUGAACGUAUAUAGCUCAACAUAUGGAGAGACCAAAAAUAAGAUACAUUGCUCUCAAGGCCUUGAAUUUCAUAUCCCAGAGCUAAGGUAUCUUUGUUGGCACGGAUAUCCAUUGAAAUCAUUGUUGAAUUUUCAUCCAGAAUAUCUUGUUGUUCUUAAUAUGCCCCAUAGCAAUCUUGGGCAAUUUCGGAUUGGUGUCCAGAAUCUUCUUCAUUUAAGGCAUACUGACCUUAGUCACUCGAGGAAUCUAACCGAAAUCUCAGAUCUCUCAUGUGCCCCACAUUUGGAGAGCUUUAUUGUUGAAGGCUGUACAAGUUUAUUUGAGAUUUCCUCUUCUAUCCAGUAUCUCAAUAAACUUGUUAUCUUGAAUCUUCUUCAACAUCUCUUAAGAAAGUGAUUCUCUCUGUGUGCUCAAUCUCAAGAUGGUUUCAAAGUUCUCAUCUAACAUAGAAGAGUUAUUUUUAAAUGGAACUGCGAUCGAAGAAUUGCCCUCAUCAAUAAAAAUUUUAGAUACUCUUGAAAUAUAUAAAUUUCAGGGGCUGUUCAAGGCUUAAGAGUCUCCCAAAUGUGAUUUCUGAGCUGAAAUCUCUUAAACAUCUUUAUGUCUCUGGCUGUUCUGAACCGGACAGAUUGCCUGAUGAAAUGGGAAAUUCAAAAAGUUUGGAGGUGCUCGAGGCAAAUGGAAGUGCUAGAAUGCAAAUAUUCCCUUCUAUUAAAUGUUUGAACAACCUUCAUACAUUAUCUUUGGAGACAUACAAGGGUCAAGAGCCAUUGGAUUUGCUAUUGCCUAUUUUGCCAGGUUUUAACUUUCUAGAACAAUUAAAUCUGACUGACUAAUAUCACAGAGUUGCCCGAGAAUCUUGGCCAAUUAUCCUCCCUAAAAUCUUUAAAAAUGGCCAGAAAUGAUUUUGGGAGCAUUCCAAAAUUCAUAAAAAACCUUUGUAAGUUCAUGUUGCUUGAUGUAAGCUUUUGUUAUAGGCUUCAAUGCUUACCAGAGCUUCCAUGUCAGCUAGAAUAUGUAAAAGCACAGAGUUGCAUUUCAUUGCAAACAUUUUCAAACUUCAUCAAUUGUUUGAAACUAGAUUGGGAUGCACUUGGAAACAUCCUGACUGAUGCUUUACAAAAACUUGAGCAAACUUCCAUUCAUUGGCGGGAAGCAUAUGAGAUGGUUUGGCAAGAGUUUUUGUGUCCCUGGAAGUGAAAUUCCAAAGUGGUUUGACUAUCAGACUGCAGGAUGUUAUAUAGAGCUGCCACGUGAUUCACUCAAUCUUAACUUAGUCGGAUUUGCAUUGUCAUAGCCUUUGAAGAUCAUCAUGAUGACGGUCGUGAAUUGAUUGUUAAUUUUGAGUUGCUUCUUAAAUCCCAAGAUGCUUACUACAAAAAAGUUGCUGGUGGCUUGAUUCAGGCUUGGCAUAAAGAUGAUGCACCUGAUUGUUUUGAGUCAGAUCACAUAUUCCUGGUUUAUGAUUGCAAUAUGUACACAUCUGGAUUUCCAGUUUGUCUUACAAUAUUGAGGCCAUCAUUAAUUUCUAUGUUAGCAACAAUGAUAGAACACAUUUGGAAUGUUGCAAGGUGAAAAAAUGUGGAGUCCCUUUUUUGUACAACCAACAUUCUGGGGAAACAGUUGAAGAGUCCCGUAAAAGUUGUAUCUCUAGUGAGGAUGAAGACGAGGGGGAAGCACACUUCAGCUCGGGGUAAGAUACCUUUUUCUUCAUACCUGCAGUGAUUAGUUCAAAAUAUUGCUUUCUUUUAGAUCCCAUUUGCUUGGUUUGUCUCUCUUGGUUUGGUUACAUAUAUAUUAGUAAAUCACCCUUUCAUGCUGUGGUUAUACUAUUUUUUGAAUGAUUUUCUAUUGGAUCUGAACAUAUUGUUUAUAUUUUGAUGUGAAAGAUAAUAAUUAUUGAUGGAAUAAAUGUCUCACAUUGGGUAGAAUAAUAAAAAUGAAAGGGUAUAUGAUGUAUUGAGUAUCCAAGUUAGAUUGAUUUAAGCCAUUUUAACAAUUGGAGUCCAAAACAUGUUGAAGCUCAUAAUUAGUAAUCAUGAAACGGACGUAGAUUUUUAACAAUGCUCUAUAGUUUUAGUGGAGCUCAAAUCUUUCAUUAAUGUUUAAUACAAAAAAUAGGACACAGUAUUCAACCAC